rnacentral:rRNA from 1 species
UGAGUAACGCGUAUCCAACCUGGCCCAUAGUAGGGAAUAGCCCGGCGAAAGUCGGAUUAAUGCCCUAUGUUAUCCGAUGAGGACAUCGUGAGUCGGAUUAAAGAUUCAUCGGCUAUGGGGAUGGGGAUGCGUCUGAUUAGCGUUGCCGGCGGGGUAACGGCCCACCGGGGCAACGAUCAUAGGGGUUCUGAGAGGAAGGUCCCCCACAUUGGAACUGAGACACGGUCCAAACUCCUACGGGAGGCAGCAGUGAGGAAUAUUGGUCAAUGGCCGCAAGGCUGAACCAGCCAAGUAAGCGUGCAGGAUGACGGCCCUAUGGGUUGUAAACUGCUUUUGCGGGGAAUAAAGUGAGGGACGUGUCCCUUUUUGUAUGUACCCUAUGAAUAAGGACCGGCUAAUUCCGUGCCAGCCGCCGC